UGUCCAGGCAGGGAAGCCGGUUCCUUGCCAGCAGAAAAAGCACCGCCAGUCAACACAUUCCCAGCACCCUUACCGGCAUCCACAGAGCACUGAGUGAAGAGUUUCUGGUUUCAAAAUGGUCCAGUUCUCGUUAGACCAUGAAAGCCAGCCCUUGUCUUUUCUGAGGAUUCUUCACUUUAUUUCAAUAGAACGUUAAGACUUUACUCAUAAUCUGUGAAUCCUGUGCUCGUGGAUAAAUGCAAAUAUUGCCAUCACCUUCUACUGACAGAAGACUCCGGUGUUACCAUGGAGAACAGUGUUAAUCCUUUUGUAAUUAGAGCUUUAUUUCAGUCUUCGUCGGGCAAGGAUGGAGUCGGAUUUUGUAAUAGAAGACCCGGUUUAUGUGCUGAGAUGGAUCCAAGCCAGACAGAGAGUGAUCGUGAGGACCGAAAAGUGACUUUGAGGACCAGGCUCUCUUCUGAUAGAAGGCCCCAAGAACAUGUCAACAGAGACAUUCAAAGAAGUUGAAGGUCAGCAGGGCCGAGGUUAUGCCAUUUUCACGGCUGAGGUACUGGCAUUUUGGUGUACCACACUCACAUCAACAACAUGUUUGCUCAGUAGAUGAUCCACAAUCUCUGGUCAACGGAGGAACUCAAAACAGUUGUGUAUUGGGAUGGUUUAGGCUGUGCGUGAUAACAAACAGCUCCUGUUCUCAAUGGCUUACAUGGGAUGGAGUUGUUUCUUGUCCUUGCCGCAUGGCCUGCAAGGUAGUCUGGGGUCUCUCUCGGCUUGCCUUUCCCCCACAGGACCCAGGCUGGAAGGCGGAAAUGGAAAGAAAUGCAGACAAUGAAAGGGUCCGGCAUGAAGAGGAUUGCUUCAAGAACACAUUGGCCUGAGCUGGUCAUUUUCCUGCUGCCUCAGAUUCCCAAGCAAGCAAGCCAGGAAGUAAGAUAGUUCAGUGUUUAGAAGGUGCAGAGAGCUGAGAAGGGGAAGGGGGAGGGGAAGAAGGGGUGGAGCUGCCACAGAGAAACUUGUCUCCACACAGCUCAGUGAGGAUGGAGUCCUGGCUGCCACAAGUUGGCCUGUCAGCAGAUUUGUCUCUUCAUUGUCUCAAUGAGCAUCUUUCAAACAUCAGCCUCUAAAUAGAAAUUUCUGAAGUUCAUGAAAUGGGGUAAACAGACUGAUUAUUGAUGAUGACUUGUCCCUUUGGCUACUAGCCAAAUUCUUCUAAAAAUCAUGUUUCUAUUUUGUCUGAUUAUUUUUCUCUAGAGUUUCCCCAGAAGUAUUAACAGAUUUGGGCAGAUAUCUGAGUAGAUUUUUUUCUUUUGAUUUUGAAAGCAAAUGAGUAGACAUUUUGCUGUAGGACAUGGUUGUUUUCUGAUCGGGUGGAGGCUAGUCUGAAUUUUUAUUUGUGUCUUUGAUGCCUGUCUGUCUGACUGACUGUACCUUGCUUGGAAUGAUCUCUUCAUGUUGGUUAUUGUAAGCAUGGAGAGAUGAAUGAAUAAAAACAAUCAAGUCAA